GAUGAACGCUGACAGAAUGCUUAACACAUGCAAGUCAACUUGAACUUCGGUUUGGGUGGCGGACGGGUGAGUAACGCGUAAAGAACUUGCCUCACAGCUAGGGACAACAUUUGGAAACGAAUGCUAGUACCUGAUAUUAUGAUUUUAGGGCAUCCUAGAAUUAUGAAAGCUAUAUGCACUGUGAGAGAGCUUUGCGUCCCAUUAGCUAGUUGGAGAGGUAACGGCUCACCAAGGCGAUGAUGGGUAGCCGGCCUGAGAGGGUGAUCGGCCACAAGGGGACUGAGACACGGCCCUUACUCCUACGGGAGGCAGCAGUGGGGAAUAUUGGACAAUGGACCAAGAGUCUGAUCCAGCAAUUCUGUGUGCACGAUGAAGUUUUUCGGAAUGUAAAGUGCUUUCAGUUGGGAAGAAAAAAAUGACGGUACCAACAGAAGAAGUGACGGCUAAAUACGUGCCAGCAGCCGCGGUAAUACGUAUGUCACAAGCGUUAUCCGGAUUUAUUGGGCGUAAAGCGCGUCUAGGUGGUUAUGUAAGUCUGAUGUGAAAAUGCAGGGCUCAACUCUGUAUUGCGUUGGAAACUGUGUAACUAGAGUACUGGAGAGGUAAGCGGAACUACAAGUGUAGAGGUGAAAUUCGUAGAUAUUUGUAGGAAUGCCGAUGGGGAAGCCAGCUUACUGGACAGAUACUGACGCUGAAGCGCGAAAGCGUGGGUAGCAAACAGG
rnacentral:rRNA from 1 species